CACAAUUUGAGGAAGUAUCAGUCAAUAGUCACACUCGAGCGCAUAACAGAGUUAUUUAUAGCUGCCAGUCUAGAGUUUUAACUCAUGCGGGGCCAAGGUUCGAUGUUAUAAACAGCUUUAUUUAUAAUGAUUGCAUGGCUAUAAAUAGUUUGGUUCCCUGGGUGUCACAGAACAACCCGGGACGUGCUGCCAAAACCAGCGCCAGGAAGCGGGCUGCAGCAGGGAGGUGAAUCCUGGUGGUGUUUUUUUGCUUCUCCGAGGACCCUGUCUCUGACGUAUAUUAGGCAGGAUGGUACAGAUCUGAGGGAGCAGCACCCUGUGAGAAACUGACAUCAUUCUGCCCGUCUUGGCAUCCUCCCAGACAUGUGUUGAGCCCCAAGAAGCCUGCACUUAGGAUUAUCAACAUCAUUACCAUUAUUAUCAUUACUGCAACUCUGGCUAAGGGAGUUGUGAGUUGCAUCCUAUUUGAACGUCUCCCACUGGAUUGGAAGAAAGCAAUGAGGGCCUCCUAAGUAAGCUAACAAUCACGCUGCAGUGGAGGUGAAUCAUGGGCUCCGAGACCCAAUGCCACAGGACUCUGACCUGGGUGCGGGGGAGGGCAUCCCGGAGAAGGUGGCCUCCACAUUGAAUCCUACAGGUGGUUCCUUCGGGUGGUGAUUGUGCCUUUUUGUUUCUGUACAGACACCUGCUGGCAUAGUAGGGAUAUGGUAAAUCUUUGUAGAGAGAGUUAAUGAAGGUGUAUUUUUCUUGGAAUUUGACAGUCCCUCUGGAACACUAUGUCAUACAUUAGCAAUACAUAAAAAAACCCCAUGAAUUUAAAUGGUUAAAAAUGAAAAAUAAGAGAGAGGAGAGAGAGAUUUGUGGAGUGUGUGCACUGGAGCAGAAUGAGGACCCCCAUCUGACUGGGGCUCUGGAAUUCCUAAACAAAAUGAUCAACUCCCUAUUGGGAGUCGGCCCUUACGUGGCAAGAAUAUGCAAGGCCAAGGUGUAGGAAAUGAAAUGGAGCAAUGAGCAUGUUGAAGUGAAUUGGUCUGAGUGGCCUGAAA